UUGAAUAGUAUCCUUCCACUUAAAAAAAAAAAAAAAUAGUAUCCUUCCAAAAAUUCAUGUCCACCCAGAACCUAUGAAUGUGAUCUUACUUGGAAAUAGGAUUCUUGUCGAUGUAAUCAAGUUAAGAUGAAGUCAUAGUAGAUUAGGAUGGGCCCUAAUCCAGUGACUGAUGUUCUUAUAUGAAGAGGGAGAUACACAGAGGGAAGACAUCCAUAUGAAGAUGGGAGCAGAAAUCGGAAUUGUGCUGCCACAAACCGAGGAAUGUCAAGAAUUACUGGCAACCGCCAGAGCUGGAAGAGGCAAAGAAAGAUUCUCCCCUGGAGCCUUCACAGGGAGCAUGGCCUUGCUGAAACCUUGAUUUUGGACUUCUAGCCUCUAGAACUGUGAGAGAAUAAAUGUCUUUUGUUUGAAGCCACCCAGUUUGUAAUCUUUGUUACAGCAGCCUUAGGAAACCAACACAUGCUCUUUUAUUAUCUCCAUUUUCAGGUAAGGAAGCAGGCCCAGAGAGGUCAGACCCUUUGAGAUGUCUCUAGGCCACUGCUCUGCGGGCUGGGUACUUACUCUGAAGUUCCUGAUGCUGCUGUUGUCGGCUCCGCACCUUCCAUGCCGUCACACCUCUGCUACUGCUGGUGCUCAGUUGCUGGAAUGGCUCCUUCUCUAACACAGCAGGCUGCAGCGUUUCCCCCUUCUUACCCACUUCACACCCUGAAUCAGAAACUCCUCUCAGAGGCUCUGGCUGUAGACUGAUUAUUUCAGCAGGAUACUUCGUGGCCCCACUUCUCCAGCCUUAGGAUGUCACCCAUAGCUCACAUAGCACAUAUCACAGUUCAUGGCUGUGAGCAGAGCAGGAGGAGCAUCAUGACUGCAUUGGUUCUGAGGGCCCUUGUCACCUGGCCUCUUCUCUACCAAAGGGAGACCAGAUGGCACUGUGUGCUGGCCCAGGGCCAGGGGAGCCUAGCCUCUGGGCUGGCAGAGGAGAUAGCUUGAGUGUGUCAGGUGAUGGAAUAAGAAGAGCCAAGGCUGGACUGUCAAGUGGUGUAAUUUUCAGGGGCACCCAGAAUGUGCCUGCCCCUCAAAGACUUGUGUCGGCUCUUUGCUAGUGGUUGGAAUUCUACAAGUGAAAUUUAUUUCCCUUGAUUUAAGCCUUUGAGACCUUAUUAAAAAUGAAGAGACUCCAGGAAGGGCUUUUUUUUUUUUUUUUUUUUUUUUAAUCAAGUUAAAUUUAAUUUUGGGCAGCCCCGGUGGCUCAGCAGUUUAACGCUGCCUUUGGCCUGGGGGUGUGAUCCUGGGGACCCGGGAUCGGGUCCCACGUUGGGCUCCCUGCGUGAAGCCUGCUUCUCCCUCUGCCUGCGUCUCUCUCUCUCUCGCUGUCUCUCUCUGUCAUGUAUAAAUAAAAUCUUAAAAAAAAAAGUUAAAUUUAAUUUU
rnacentral:lncRNA from 1 species